rnacentral:rRNA from 1 species
GACGAACGCUGGCGGCGUGCUUAACACAUGCAAGUCGAGCGGUAAGGCCCUUUCGGGGGGUACACGAGCGGCGAACGGGUGAGUAACACGUGGGUGACCUGCCCUCAGCUCCGGGAUAAGCCUGGGAAACCGGGUCUAAUACUGGAUAUGACUCCAUGACGCAUGUUGUGGGGUGGAAAGCCUUGUGCGGCUGAGGAUGGGCCCGCGGCCUAUCAGCUUGUUGGUGGGGUGAUGGCCUACCAAGGCGACGACGGGUAGCCGGCCUGAGAGGGCGACCGGCCACACUGGGACUGAGACACGGCCCAGACUCCUACGGGAGGCAGCAGUGGGGAAUCUUGCGCAAUGGGCGAAAGCCUGACGCAGCGACGCCGCGUGAGGGAUGACGGCCUGGUGU